AUCUGACUUUUAAUCAGAGGGUCAGAGGUUCGAAUCCUCUAUGGCUCACUA
rnacentral:tRNA from 1 species